CCCUAAGGCUAUAUACCGCCCUGAGCGUGCCUGGUCUUAUCUGAUCUCAGAACCAAGCAGGGUAGUACUUGGAUGGGAGAUUCUAUGGGAAUACUCAGUGUUGUAGGCU
rnacentral:rRNA from 14 species